UGCAAUGAUUUACCAGACAGGAUUGAGGUGUUGCAAAAUCUACUUUGGAAACCAAGCUGUAAGUAGCAGAACAUGCAAUUAGGUUGUUGUGUGAGAGAUGGGAAAUAUCUGUUAAACCCCUUCCUCAUUUAUAUACACUUUAGUAUUCCCAAAAUAUAAGCUAGUUUUCCCAGAUUUGCCACGCAUUACAAGAUGACUGACCUCUGUUUGAAAUCCAGGUAGAUUUCUGUUUACGUGAAGCUGUUCUGUAUGAACCUUCUCUUCCUCUUCAUUCUCUGAACAUUUCUUACUCAUUAUUUGAUUUUCCAAAUCAGGAACCCUCCACAGGCAACUUCUAGGGAGCCUUGGUGGCGCAGUGGUUAGAGUGCAGUACUGCAAGCUAC